AUGAUUAUAUCACAUUUUCCAAAAUGUGUGGCAGUUUUUGCCCUCCUUGCUCUGAGUGUUGGUGCACUGGACACUUUUAUUGCUGCAGUAUAUGAGCAUGCGGUGAUAUUACCAAACAGAACAGAAACACCUGUUUCAAAAGAAGAAGCUUUGCUCCUGAUGAACAAGAACAUAGAUGUUUUGGAGAAAGCAGUUAAGCUGGCAGCGAAGCAGGUAUUACCCUUUUAUACUUGUAAAGGAGACUUGCAGUUUGGUCAAAGAGUAUUUGGAAUUCAUGACAAACUUUUUUGCCCCACUUGUUUCGAGCAGGGUGCACAUAUCAUUGUGACCCCAGAAGAUGGAAUCUAUGGUUGGAUCUUCACCAGGGAGAGCAUUUACCCCUAUCUAGAGGAUAUACCAGACCCUGGAGUGAACUGGAUUCCAUGUAGAGACCCCUGGAGGGAGUGGAAUCUACGCCCCAGAAGCAGUCAAGGUGUACCACUAUGACAUGGAAACAGAGAGUGGUCAGCUGUUGCUAUCAGAACUGAAGUCUCGGCCCCGCCGUGAGCCCACCUACCCUGCAGCUGUUGACUGGCAUGCGUAUGCCAGCAGUGUCAAGCCAUUUUCCUCUGAACAGUCAGAUUUUCUGGGGAUGAUUUAUUUUGAUGAGUUUACCUUCACCAAGCUUAAGAGAAAUACAGGAAAUUACACAGCUUGCCAGAAAGAUCUGUGUUGUCACUUAACUUACAAGAUGUCUGAGAAGCGAACAGACGAGAUCUAUGCCCUAGGUGCUUUUGAUGGACUGCACACAGUAGAAGGCCAAUAUUACUUACAGAUAUGUGCAUUACUGAAGUGUCAAACCACUGACCUGGAAACGUGUGGAGAACCUGUGGGGUCAGCUUUUACCAAGUUUGAAGACUUCUCCCUCAGUGGCACAUUUGGAACGCGUUAUGUUUUCCCACAGAUCAUUCUAAGUGGGAGUCAGCUUGCCCCUGAAAGACAUUAUGAGAUUUCAAGAGAUGGACGCUUGAGGAGCCGAAGUGGAGCCCCUUUGCCUGUCUUAGUUAUGGCCCUGUAUGGAAGAGUGUUUGAGAAGGACCCUCCACGCUUAGGGCAGGGAUCUGGGAAAUUCCAGUGA
ensembl:lncRNA VNN3P vanin 3, pseudogene